GGACGAGCAGUACAUUGAGUGCAGCCAAACGGCUGCGGAAGAGGUCGCCACAUCACAUGACUUCACCUGUCCCGGGCGGUGCGAGAUCUUUGCGUCACUUCCGGUGUGUGGCUGUGGGGAGAAGCCCGCUUGUGCCUCCGUGAUUGAGUCAUUUGGCAGUGCCUGCUUUUCUGCUGUUUAGAGUAUCACCAGUGCCGUGUCAUGAGCGUCAAAGAAAAUAUCUAGAGAUACUUUAAGCUCAUGUCAUCAUGAUAUUUCUUAAGCCUUAUCAGAAAGUGAAUGAAGUAUUUCUGGAAUCUGGAAAUUCAGCUGCCUUUUCUUUCAGGUGGCAGUUACACAUUGCAGAGGCCGCAAGAAGGGAACAAAGGAGAUCCCUCAAGAGAACCAACUGGCUGAUAAGCAGCGAAAGCAGCAGCUCAAAAACCCUUCCACCUGGAGCCUGCACAGGCACCCUUAUUCUGGGAAGAUCCUCUUGGAAAUGCCAGACCUGUUUACAACAAAGCAGAGACAGAGCAGGCCCUGCACAAGGAUGUCAGCUUGUCCCUUCCACGUGGUUCUAGGAAGGGGGUAAACUGCUAAUAUCCACAGCCAAUCAAUGGAAAAUCCUUAAAAACCUCCACCAAGUCUUUCACAUAUCAAAUGACCCUGAGGCUAUUUAAAAGGGUUUAGUCAAACAGUUCAUCAAGUUGGAAGUGUACAUGAGCUUUACUAACAGUGUAACUCUCCUGCCAGGCACGGUGGCACAGGCUUGUAAUCCUAGCCAUCAGGAGACUGAGACAGGAGGAUCACCAUGAAUUUGAGGCCAGCCUGGGCCUUAUAGUGAGCUCAAGACCAACCUGAACUACAUAGGAACACCUUGCCUCAAAAAAAACUCUAAACAAAAAAGAUUUCACCCCUGAAAACUAAUGAAAUGGGGCAUACCUUGGAAAAGAUUGACAGAUUUCCCCAUACAUCCCAGAUUGGGGAACCCAGCUAUUCUUAGGAUGAGUAGACACUUUCCCUGAUUGGGUAGAGGCCUUCCCAUCUAAGACAGAGAUGACUGU
rnacentral:lncRNA from 1 species